rnacentral:lncRNA from 1 species
CUCUUUCAUUACCUUAAACCCUCUUCAUAUUAUUCACUCUUCGUCACUUCCUCAAAGGUUUUUUUGCUUUUUAUCAGGUAGCUCCUCAUAGCUAACACGAACAAAAGCUAACUCAUACUCGUAUCCAAAUCUUCUAGUUGCUCUCGACUGUCUUCUCUCUUUACCCUUAGCUAAGUUAUAAUCCGCUAAGGGAUUCUCUUUCUUAGAAUGCAAUUCUAUCACUACUUCAUAUCUAUUUUCCACCUUAGGUUGCUGAACCUGAGUCUCCACCUCACUAGGAGUAACAGGGACAAAUAUGCUAAAAUUUUCUAACUCCAUCUUCAACUUAUCUCUUUCUUUACCUUGUUCUUUUUCACUUACAAGUUCAGAUUCAAUUUUAAGGCAUGACAUUUCACCCUUAUCGAAUGUAACAUCUCUACUCACAAUCAUUUUAACCUCUAUUUAAUUUCUAUCCCAUAACCUAUAACCUUUGACCCCCUCAUUUUCUACCUUUAGGUUCAAGCUUUUGCUCAUUCUAAUGAGAAAAUGUAGAGCGGCCAAAAGUUCUAAGUAUAUUAGUUUACAAAAUCAUUUUUAUAAGGAGUAUGACAAUUUAAUACAGCAGAUGGAGUCAAAUUAAUCAAAUAAAAAGCAUUCAUAACAGUUUCACCUCAAAAAGGCUUUGGGACACCGAAACUUAACAUCAUACAAUACAAUUUAUUAAGUAUAGUUCUAUUAAUCCUUUAACUACCCUAUUUUGUUGGGGAGUGUAAGGAAUAGUCUUAUGCGUUAUUAUUUCAUUUUCUUUGCACAUUUUAUCAAAUUCAGUGUUACAAAACUCUACACUAUUAUCAGUUCUCAAAAACUUUAUCAUCUUACCAGUUUCUUUCUCAACUUCUUUUUUCCAUUUAUUAAAACUAUGGAAAGUAUCAAACUUUUCAUUUAAAAGAAAAACCCACACUUUUUCUCUUGUAACCAUCAAUGAUAGACAAGAAAUACCUAUUUUCACUCGAGGUAGGAUUACUAGCAAGUCCCCACAAGUUUGAAUGCAUAUAUUCAAGCAUAACUUUAGUUUUAUGUACACUUAUAGAGAAAGAAGUUUUAUGAUGCUUACCAAGCACACGAUAACAUUAGAAAAAUAAAUUAGACACACAAUAGUAAAUCUUGCAUUCUUGUUUCAUUUUUAUAUUGCCAUACUAUAUCCCGUAUUUAAUUUUUUACCAGUGGUAUCAGAGCGAGGUUCGAUAAACUCAAUUCGAGGUUUUUUGUGAGGGCAACUAUGAAGUAUGAUAUUCUAAUGUUGGAUCGCAACACUAGAUUUUUGCUUUCGGAAGUAAAGAUGCGAGCAUAAUAAGGAGCUAUUAGUUGUUGAAAAUCAGAAGGAAAAACAAUAAUAAACUUUAGUUGAAGCUAGUAUUGCAAAAGAUACCUACAAUGAUGGAGAACUUCUAGUGAUUUCUGACAGCAAUUUCAAACCUUACAAAAAUUGAAUUCUUGAUACAACUUGCACUUGUCAUAUAUGUUAAUCGGGAUUUGUUUUCAAUAUAUGAAAUAGUUUCCAAAGGUGGUAUGGUGAUAGAAAUAAUUCACCUUGUAGGAUAGCUGGUAUUGAAAGGGUCAAAAUUAAGAUAUUAGGUGGGAUUGUCAGGACACUUAAAUGAUAUGAGACAUGUUCCAGAUUUGAAGAGAAAUAUUAUCUCAUUGAGUGCUCGUGAUUUAAAAAGAUAUACAAACACUUGCGCAUGUGAAGUCCUGAAGUUAGUAAAGGUACCUGUAUUGUGUUGAAGGGACACAAAAUGACCCAGUUAUAUGUCUAUCUUGGUUACACAGAAUCUUUGGAUGUUAAUCAGUAGAAAUUCGAGACUUAUGUGAAUUUUGAGUUUGGUUAGUAUCGUUGGAGUUUGAUUUAAGGUCCAUAUUAAAAAAUACAUCUCAGUCACAUUCAGAAGUUAUGGGCAAUGUCGCUUUGCCGCCACCACCUGUGGUGCCACAGUGUAUAAUUUCUAGAGACA